GAUUGAAUCAUAUGUUUGUCACAAAUGUGAUUGAGGUCUCGUAUAUAACAUUUCCGUACACUUGGCUUGGGGGCAGUGAUUGCAACAAAGAGGGGAUUUUCGUUUGGACUGAUGGUUCACCCAUGGACCACACAGCUUGGUGUCCCAGUGAACCAUUCAACGCAAAUGGAAAGGAGAGCUGUGUUGCACUCAACCACAAGAGUCACUUUCUCUGGUCAAGUGAAGACUGCAACAAACAGUUCAAUUUUGUCUGUGCUUAUAAACUGGCCUGUCCAAGCCCUGACUGUUCAGCUUGUUGAACCACAUGAAGCAUUGGUUGAAUAGCCUUACAUUCUACCUGACAUGUUGGU